rnacentral:rRNA from 1 species
GACGAACGCUGGCGGCGUGCUUAACACAUGCAAGUCGAACGGAAAGGCCCUGCUUUUGUGGGGUGCUCGAGGGGCGAACUGGUGAGUAACACGUGAGUAACCUGCCCUUGACUUUGGGAUAACUUCAUGAAACUGGGGCUAAUACCGGAUAGGAGCUCCUGCUGCAUGGUGGGGGUUGGAAAGUUUCGGCGGUUGGGGAUGGACUCGCGUCUUAUCAGCUUGUUGGUUGGGUAGUGGCUUACCAAGGCCUGGACGGGUGGCAGGCCUGAGAGGGUGACCGGCCACACUGGGACUGGAAUGAGGCACAGACUCGUCCGGGAGGGAGCAGUGCGGAAUAUUGCACAAUGGGCGGAAGGCUGAUGCAGCCAAGCAGCGUGCGGGAUGACGGCCUUCGGGUUGUAAACCGCUUUCGCCUGUGACGAAGCGUGAGUGACGGUAAUGGGUAAAGAAGCACCGGCUAACUCCGUG